GAUGUNCGGAGGAAAAGAAACCAACUGGGAUUACCUUAGUAACGGCGAGUGAAGCGGUAAAAGCUCAAAUUUGAAAUCUGGUACUUUCAGUGCCCGAGUUGUAAUUUGUAGAAUUUGUCUUUGAUUAGGUCCUUGUCUAUGUUCCUUGGAACAGGACGUCAUAGAGGGUGAGAAUCCCGUUUGGCGAGGAUACCUUUUCUCUGUAAGACUUUUUCGAAGAGUCGAGUUGUUUGGGAAUGCAGCUCAAAGUGGGUGGUAAAUUCCAUCUAAAGCUAAAUAUUGGCGAGAGACCGAUAGCGAACAAGUACAGUGAUGGAAAGAUGAAAAGAACUUUGAAAAGAGAGUGAAAAAGUACGUGAAAUUGUUGAAAGGGAAGGGCAUUUGAUCAGACAUGGUGUUUUUUGCAUGCACUCGCCUCUCGUGGGCUUGGGCCUCUCAAAAAUUUCACUGGGCCAACAUCAAUUCUGGCAGCAGGAUAAAUCAUUAAGAAUGUAGCUACUUCGGUAGUGUUAUAGCUUUUUGGAAUACUGUUAGCCGGGAUUGAGGACUGCGCUUCGGCAAGGAUGUUGGCAUAAUGGUUAAAUGCCGCCCGUCUG
rnacentral:rRNA from 1 species